UCUGCCAAAAUGGCAUCUGUCAGCUCUUC
rnacentral:piRNA from 1 species